rnacentral:rRNA from 1 species
AACGAACGCUGGCGGCAUGCCUAACACAUGCAAGUCGAACGUUGGUCUUCGGAUCAUAGUGGCGCACGGGUGCGUAACGCGUGGGAAUCUGCCCUUGGGUUCGGAAUAACAGUUGGAAACGACUGCUAAUACCGGAUGAUGUCGAUAAGACCAAAGAUUUAUCGCCCGAGGAUGAGCCCGCGUCGGAUUAGCUAGUUGGUGGGGUAAAGGCCUACCAAGGCGACGAUCCGUAGCUGGUCUGAGAGGAUGAUCAGCCACACUGGGACUGAGACACGGCCCAGACUCCUACGGGAGGCAGCAGUGGGGAAUAUUGGACAAUGGGCGCAAGCCUGAUCCAGCAAUGCCGCGUGAGUGAUGAAGGCCUUAGGGUUGUAAAGCUCUUUUACCCGGGAAGAUAAUGACUGUACCGGGAGAAUAAGCCCCGGCUAACUCCGUG